GAUGAACGCUGGCGGCGUGCUUAACACAUGCAAGUCGAACGGAAAGGCCCAAGCUUGCUUGGGUACUCGAGUGGCGAACGGGUGAGUAACACGUGGGUGAUCUGCCCUGCACUUCGGGAUAAGCCUGGGAAACUGGGUCUAAUACCGGAUAGGACCACUUCUUGGAUGUUGUGGUGGAAAGUUUUUUCGGUGUGGGAUGAGCUCGCGGCCUAUCAGCUUGUUGGUGGGGUAAUGGCCUACCAAGGCGUCGACGGGUAGCCGGCCUGAGAGGGUGUACGGCCACAUUGGGACUGAGAUACGGCCCAGACUCCUACGGGAGGCAGCAGGGGGGAAUAUUGCACAAUGGGCGCAAGCCUGAUGCAGCGACGCCGCGUGGGGGAUGACGGCCUUCGGGUUGUAAACUCCUUUCGCUAGGGACGAAGCGUUUUUGUGACGGUACCUGGAGAAGAAGCACCGGCUAACUACGUG
rnacentral:rRNA from 1 species